rnacentral:rRNA from 1 species
CCUACGGGUGGCAGCAGUGAGGAAUAUUGGUCAAUGGGCGGAAGCCUGAACCAGCCAAGUCGCGUGAGGGAAUAAGGCCCUACGGGUCGUAAACCUCUUUUGUCGGGGAACAAAGGCGGAGACGCGUCUCCGGAUGAGUGUACCCGAAGAAAAAGCAUCGGCUAACUCCGUGCCAGCAGCCGCGGUAAUACGGAGGAUGCGAGCGUUAUCCGGAUUUAUUGGGUUUAAAGGGUGCGCAGGCGGGAGAUCAAGUCAGCGGUAAAAUGUCGGGGCUCAACCCCGGCCGGCCGUUGAAACUGGUGUUCUAGAGUGGGAGAGAAGUAUGCGGAAUUCGUGGUGUAGCGGUGAAAUGCAUAGAUAUCACGAAGAACUCCGAUUGCGAAGGCAGCAUACCGGCUCCAUACUGACGCUGAGGCACGAAAGCGUGGGGAUCGAACAGGAUUAGAUACCCGAGUAGUC